rnacentral:rRNA from 1 species
CACCAUAGGACUGGCCGUCCCAUAUGAAAAGAUUAUAUUAGAAUUGAAUGAAGCUUUGUUUAUAUAUUGAUAAUGACAGUAUAUAUAUCGUGUCUUGACUAAUUGCGUGCCAGCAGUCGCGGUAAUACGUAAGAGACUAGUGUUAUUCAUCUUAAUUAGGUUUAAAGGGUACCCAGACGGUCAAUAUAGCUUAUAAAAUGUUAGUACUUGACUAGAGUUUUAUGUAAGAGGGCAGUACUUGAGGAGGAGAGAUGAAAUUUCGUGAUACCAAAGGGACUCUGUAAAGGCGAAGGCAGCCCUCUAUGUAAAAACUGACGUUGAAGGACGAAGGCACAGAGAACAAACAGGAUUAGAUACCCAAGUAGUCUUUGCAGUAAAUGAUGAAUGCCAUAGGUUAGAUUGGUCAAUUAUAGUCUAGGGUUAGUCUAGCAAACUAAUACCCUAUGCUAUAAUCCUAAUAUCUGGUCUAUAAAUGAAAGUGUAAGCAUUUCACCUCAAGAGUAAUGUGGCAACGCAGGAAC